rnacentral:lncRNA from 10 species
AAAAUAAACAUACAAAAAUCAGCAGCAUCUGUACAAACAUACAAAAUUCAGCAAACAAUCUGUAUGUGUAUAUAUAUAUAUAUAUAUGGUUAUAUAGUUAGGAACAAUGAAUAAGAAUGAAGAAGAUCUGGUAUUCAAUAGCACAGCAGGGUGACUACAGUCAACAAUAACUCAUUGUACAUUUAAAAAUAGCUAGAAGUGUAAAAUUGGCUCCUUUUGUAACAAAAGGAAAGGAUAAAUGCUCAAGAUGAUGGAUCCUCCAUUUCCCUUGAUGGAUUACUAUGCAUUGUAUGCCUAUGUCACAGAAUCUCUUGUGCCCCACAAAUAUAUGCGCCUACUAUAUGCCCACGAAAAUAAAAAUUUAAAAUUUAAAAAUUUAAACAGAGAUACUAAAGACCAGACUUAAGUUUAAAAACAAAACAAUAAAAUGUACCUAUGAAACAAAAACCUGGUUCUUUGAGUAAAUUAAUUAAAUCGAUAAACUUCUAGUCAGACCAAAAAAAGAGAAAAAAAAACAAUAAUGGGAGUGAUGAGGUUGACAUCAUUAGAGAUCAAAUAGAUAUUUGAUGGAUAUUAAAAUAAUAUUGUGAACAACAUUAUGCUAAAAAAUUUGAACACGUGAAAAGCAAAUAUAAUUUUCUUGAAAAACGUAAACUAUUAAACUCACUUGGGAAGGAAUAGACCAACUUGAUUGCCCCUUGUCUAUUAAAAUAAUUAAAAUUUGCUUUUACAUUUCUUCCAACAAAGAAACUUACAAGUGUAAUUGUUUUUUACUAUAAUUCUAUCAAAAAAAUUAAGGAUAAGUGCCGGGAUUGCGCCACUGCACUCCAGCCUGGGCGACAGCGAGACUCCGUCUCAAAAAAAAAAAAAAAAAAAAAAAAAAAAUUAAGGAUAAGUAUCACCAGUUAUUCACAGCGUCUUUCAGAAUAAGAACUAUAUUCCAACUCACUCUGUGAGGACACAGUCACUGUGAUAUCAAAAGUAAAGACAUGAAAUAAAACUACAGAACAGUAUGUCUCAUGAACACAGAUGAAAAUAUUUUAAGAAAUUUGGCAAAUUGAAUCCAACAAUACACAAAAAAUGAAUGCACUAUGACCCAGUGGGCUCUAUUGCCAGAAGGUAAAGUUGAUUUCACGUUCUUAAAUGAAACAAUGAAAUUUACCACUUUAAAUAAUUAAAAAUUAAAAGUUGAGAAAAGAUAUGAUCAUCUCUUCAGCCACAGAAACAUCCUUGACAACGUUCUACACCAACUUCUGAUAAUAAAUCCUAAACAAAGUAGGAAUAUUAUUAAACUUUCUUAACCUGGCAAAGAUCUUUUGAAGAACCUACAGCAAACAUCACACUUAAUGUUGAAAUAUUAACUUUUCCCCUUAAUAUUGGGAGCACAGCAAAAAUGUCCAUUCUCACCAUUUCUAUUAAACAUCGAAUUGGAGAUUCCAGCAAGUCAAAUAAGGCAAAAAUAAUUAUAUA